UACGAAGGGUGCAAGCGUUACUCGGAAUUACUGGGCGUAAAGCGUGCGUAGGUGGUGAGUUAAGUCUGUCGUGAAAGCCCCGGGCUCAACCUGGGAAUGGCGAUGGAAACUGGCGAGCUAGAGUACGGUAGAGGAGAGUGGAAUUCCCGGUGUAGCAGUGAAAUGCGUAGAGAUCGGGAGGAACAUCAGUUGCGAAGGCGGCUCUCUGGACCAGUACUGACGCUGAGGCACGAAAGCGUGGGGAGCAAACAGG
rnacentral:rRNA from 1 species